rnacentral:lncRNA from 1 species
CCAAACUUCUUUUUCCUCUCAUCUGAUGGAUUUUCUAGGGUAAUGCUGUGUCAAAAACUCCUAUACCUUCACGACUCAGUAAAUCACAACUCGAAGAAGCCCAGGUUGUGGCUCAGAGUAAUCAAGGCCCUCCUCUAGCAGGUAACGCUGGACAGAAAUGGGAAGCCUAGCAGGAGUCCGCGAACCCUUUGUAUGGUGUCCUGUUCCAACGCAAAUGUAAACCUGUAUUCGCUGGUCUGCUGAUCUGGCAGCAUUUCUCAACACAGACAGCUCACGCUUAAGGACAUGAAUAGCUUCACUAACAUGAAGCCCAUGCAGGUC